rnacentral:rRNA from 1 species
UACGGAGGGGGCUAGCGUUGUUCGGAAUUACUGGGCGUAAAGCGCACGUAGGCGGCUUUGUAAGUUAGAGGUGAAAGCCCGGAGCUCAACUCCGGAAUUGCCUUUAAGACUGUAUCGCUCGAAUCAUGGAGAGGUGAGUGGAAUUCCGAGUGUAGAGGUGAAAUUCGUAGAUAUUCGGAAGAACGCCAGUGGCGAAGGCGACUCACUGGACAUGUAUUGACGCUGAGGUGCGAAAGCGUGGGGAGCAAACAGG